ACGAAUCGAGCGACAUCUAGUGAAAUUUCAGCUUACUGAGUGCAAGUUAUUGCAAGCACAAUAUAUUUACUUAGAGUUAGAGUAAAAUUAAGAUAAUAGAUGGCGCAAACGGAUUUUUUUUCUCAACGUUGACAUGUUAGUAUUAUAAUCUGUGACAAUGAUCUGUGACAUUGUCAAGGUGACAGUUGUUAGACUUGUUAGUUGACAUACGAUUAUAUCUGAUGUUUGGUGGGCAAAGAAUACAAGGUCUUUGUUUGGUGGGGUUUAUUGAUUACGUCUUCAUUUUGUAUUGGCAAAAAUAUAUCUCCAACUCCUAUCUCUAAAGACGAUGAUAACCAUUAUGAAGAAUGACAUGCAAAGGCUAUUUGAACCACAUAUCAACAAUUUUCUGACCAUGACCAAGUGAUGAAUAUGAUACAAGUCUACCUCAUGAAAGCCACACUACUUUUCAAAGAAAAAUAUUUUCUUUGGAGUUGUAGGUAUUAUAGUGAAAACUUAAUCCUGACUUCUGUUCUGCAUAAAUGAGAAUCGCACUAUGCCAGGUA